rnacentral:sRNA from 1 species
UACUCAUACAGAGCUUACAAGCCUAAGUAGUGUUUCCUUGUUAGAAGAUACAAAACCAAAGACAAGGACUCAUACGGACUUCGACUACACCAUCAAAGCGUUGAGAACCAAGAAAAAGCUUGGUUAGUGUUUUGGAGUAGAAUAUGAAUUGAUGCCAUGUGUAUGAUUAAGUAUAAGAACUUAAUCCGCAACCGGAUCUUAAAAGGCUAAGUAGUGUUUCCUUGUUAGAAGAUACAAAGCCAAAGACUCAUACGGAUUUUAGCUACACCAUCAAAGCUUUGAGAAGCAAGAAGAAGCUUGGUUAGUGUUUUGGAAUCAAAUAUGACUUGAUGUCAUAUGUAUGAGUGAGUAUAACAACUAGAAUCGCAACCGGAUCUUAAAAGCCUAAGUAUUGUAUCCUUGUUAGAAGAUAUAAAGACAAAUACUCAUACAGAGCUUACAAGCCUAAGUACUGUUUCCUUGUUAGAAGAUACAAAACCGAAGACUCAUACGGAGUUUAGCUACACCAUCAAAGCUUUGAGAACCAAGAAGAAGAUUGGUUAGUGUUUUGGAGUGAAAUAUGACUAGAUGUCACGUGUAUGAUUGAGUAUAAGAACUUAAACCGCAACCGAAUCUUAAAAGCCUAAGUAAUGUUUCCUUGUUAGAAGAUACAAAGCCAAAACCUCAUACAGACUUUAGCUACACCAUCAAAGCUUUGAGAAGCAAGAAGAAGCUUGGUUAGGGUUUUGGAGUCAAAUAUAACUAGAUGUCAUAUGUAUGAGUGAGUAUGAGAACUAGAACCGCAAUCGAGUCUUAAAAGCCUAAGUAUUGAAUCUUUGUUAGAAGAUACAAAGACAACGACUCAUACGGACUUUGACUACACCAUCAAAGCUUUGAGAACCAAGAAAAAGCUUGGUUAGUGUUUUGGAGUAGAAUAUGACU